AGAAGGGCGUAUGGCGGAUGCCUAGGCUCUCACAGGCGAAGAAGGACGUGAUAAGCUGCGAUAAGCUGCGGGUAGGUGCAAAUGACCUAUGAUCCGCGGAUUUCCGAAUGGGACAACCCACCUACUUGAAGAGUAGGUAUCCAUUAUAUGAUGGAGGCGAACGCGGGGAACUGAAACAUCUUAGUACCCGUAGGAAGAGAAAAUAAAGAAUGAUUCCCCCAGUAGUGGCGAGCGACCGGGGAAGAGCCCAAACCAGCGAGGUUCCGGCCUCGCUGGGGUAGUAGGACCACGUUGUGGCAAGACAUCUCGUGAGCGGAAUCCUCUGGAAAGUGGGACCGCAGACGGUGACAGUCCGGUAUGCGAAGCGAGACGAAGCCUAGUGGUAUCCUGAGUAGCGCGGGUCACGAGAAAUCCUGCGUGAAUCCGCCGGGACCAUCCGGCAAGGCUAAAUACUAGUGAGAGACCGAUAGUGAACCAGUACCGUGAGGGAAAGGUGAAAAGGACCCGUAGUACGGGAGUGAAAGAGUACCUGAAACCAUACGCCUACAAGCGGUCGGAGCGCCUUUAUGGUGUGACGGCGUGCCUUUUGCAUAAUGAACCUACGAGUUGCCAUCUCUGGCAAGGUUAAGGAAGAUAGACUUCCCGAGCCGCAGCGAAAGCGAGUCUGAAAGGGGCGAAGUGAGUCAGAGGGGGCAGACGCGAAACCGAGUGAUCUACACAUGUCCAGGAUGAAGUCCCGGUAACACGGGAUGGAGGUCCGCACGGAUAAGCGUUGAAAAGCUUCCCGAUGAGGUGUGUGUAGGAGUGAAAGGCCAAUCAAACUCGGAGAUAGCUCGUACUCCCCGAAAGGCAUUUAGGUGCCGCCUGGGAUGUUUCUCUUGUGAGGUAGAGCGACUGAUUGGAUGCGAGGGCUUCACCGCCUAUCAAGUCCAGACAAACUCCGAAUGCGCAAGAGUUAAGUCCUGGAGUAAGGGCGCGGGUGCUAAGGUCCGUGCCCGAGAGGAGAAGAAUCCAGACCACCGGCUAAGGUCCCGAAAUGUAUGCUAAGUUAGACUAACGCAGUCCGGCCCCCAAGACAGCUAGGAUGUUGGCUUGGAAGCAGCCAUUCAUUCAAAGAGUGCGUAACAGCUCACUAGUCGAGGAGCUGGGCGUGGAUAAUAAUCGGGUAUAAAGCAUAUUGCCGAAGCCGUGGGAUGCAAUAGCAUCGGUAGGGGAGCAUUCCAGUCAGCGUCGAAGGCGUGGCGUGAGCCACUCUGGAGCGUCUGGAAAAGCAAAUGUAGGUAUAAGUAACGCUAAAGGGGGUGGGAUGCCCCCUCGCCGCAAGACCAAGGUUUCCCGGGCGACGUUAAUCGUCCCGGGGUCAGUCGGGUCCUAAGGAUAAGCCUAAUGGCGAGGCCGAUGGCAUAACGGUUAAUAUUCCGUUACUGCCGCAGCGCGCGAUGCGGAGACGGAGGCGUGACACAGCCGCCUGCUGACGGAAUAGCAGGUUAAAGGGUAUAGGUGUUGAGAGGGGCAGGCAAAUCCACCCCUUGAGCUGAAGCCUGAGAGUACGCGGAGGACUUCGGUCCGAAGUGACAGAGCUGGUAAUCAUACUCCCGAGAAAAUCCGCUAAGCAGCAACGCUGCGGCACCCGUACCGUAAACGGACACACGUGGUCGGGUUGAGUAUACUGAGGCGCUUGGGUGAUUCACGGUUAAGGAAUUAGGCAAAAUGACCCUGUAACUUCGGGAUAAAGGGUCCUCGUAUGAAAGCGAGGCGCAGAGAAUAGGUCCAGGCAACUGUUUAACAAAAACACAGGGCUGUGCGAAGUCGAAAGACGCGGUAUACAGUCUGACACCUGCCCGGUGCCGGAAGGUUAAGAGGAGGGCUUAUGCUUAGGCAGAAGGUCUGAAUUGAAGCCCCGGUAAACGGCGGCCGUAACUAUAACGGUCCUAAGGUAGCGAAAUUCCUUGUCGGGUAAGUUCCGACCUGCACGAAUGGUGUAAUGAUCCGGACACUGUCUCAACCGUGAGCCCAGUGAAAUUGUAGUAUCGGUGAAGAUGCCGAUUACCCGCGAUGGGACGAAAAGACCCCGUGAACCUUUACUAUAGCUUAGCGUUGGACUUGGGCAUUCGAUGUGUAGGAUAGGCCGGAGGCAAUGAAGCAUGUACGCCAGUAUGUGUGGAGCCGCUGUUGAAAUACGGCCCUUUGGCUGUCUGGGUCCUAACUUGCAGUAGCAAGGACCGCGCUUGGUGGGUAGUUUGACUGGGGUGGUCGCCUCCAAAAGCGUAACGGAGGCUCCUAAAGGUACCCUCACGCCGAUUGGUAACCGGCGUCAGAGUGUAAUGGCAAAAGGGUGCUUGACUGGGAGGCAGACAUGCCGCACAGGUGGGAAACCAGAGCAUAGUGAUCCGGCGGUUCCGUAUGGAAGGGCCGUCGCUCAAAGGAUAAAAGGUACUCCGGGGAUAACAGGCUGAUCCCUCCCAAGAGCUCAUAUCGACGGAGUGGUUUGGCACCUCGAUGUCGGCUCGUCACAUCCUGGGGCUGGAGAAGGUCCCAAGGGUUGGGCUGUUCGCCCAUUAAAGUGGCACGCGAGCUGGGUUCAGAACGUCGUGAGACAGUUCGGUCUCUAUCUAUCGUGGGCGCUGGAGAUUUGCGUGGCUCUGACACUAGUACGAGAGGACCGUGUUGGACAGACCUCUGGUUUACCGGUUGUUCCGCCAGGAGCACCGCCGGGUAUCUACGUCUGGAUCGGAUAAGCGCUGAAAGCAUCUAAGCACGAAGCCGGCCACAAGAUUAGAUCUCCUCAUGAGGGUCGUCCGAGACGAGGACGUUGAUAGGAGGCAGGUGUAAAGACGGUGACGUCAAAGCCGAGCCUUACUAAUUGCCCGAAGCUUUCGGG
rnacentral:rRNA from 1 species